GAUGAACGCUGGCGGCGUGCCUAAUACAUGCAAGUCGAGCGAACAGACGAGGAGCUUGCUCCUCUGACGUUAGCGGCGGACGGGUGAGUAACACGUGGAUAACCUACCUAUAAGACUGGUAUAACUUCGGGAAACCGGAGCUAAUACCGGAUAAUAUAUUGAACCACAUGGUUCAAUAGUGAAAGACGGUUUUGCUGUCACUUAUAGAUGGAUCCGCGCCGCAUUAGCUAGUUGGUAAGGUAACGGCUUACCAAGGCAACGAUGCGUAGCCGACCUGAGAGGGUGAUAGGCCACACUGGAACUGAGACACGGUCCAGACUCCUACGGGAGGCAGCAGUAGGGAAUCUUCCGCAAUGGGCGAAAGCAUGACGGAGCAACGCCGCGUGAGUGAUGAAGGUCUUCGGAUCGUAAAACUCUGUUAUUAGGGAAGAACAAAUGUGUAAGUAACUAUGCACGUCUUGACGGUACCUAAUCAGAAAGCCACGGCUAACUACGUG
rnacentral:rRNA from 1 species